GGUAACUACGUGUCGGCUGCGGGGGGAGUCAGGAUGGUGCGAGCGUUAAUCGGAAGUACUGGGCGUAAAGCGUGCGCAGGCGGUUUGAUAAGACAGGCGUGAAAUCCCCGGGCUCAACUUGGGAAUGGCGCUUGUGACUGUCAGGGUAGAGUAUGUCAGAGGGGGGUAGAAUUCCACGUGUAGCAGUGAAAUGCGUAGAGAUGUGGAGGAAUACCGAUGGCGAAGGCAGCCCCCUGGGACGUGACUGACGCUCAUGCACGAAAGCGUGGGGAGCAAACAGGAUUAGAUACCCCAGUAGUC
rnacentral:rRNA from 1 species